rnacentral:lncRNA from 1 species
UGAACAAAGAUGCAUAGAUGAGAGCAGCAAUUCACCAAAAGUUAAUUGAAACUGGAGAAAGAGAACACCUCAAAGAGUUGCUGAGAGCUAAAUUAAUUGAAAAUGGCUGGAAGGAUCAGUUGAAGGCACACUGUAAAGAGGUAAUUAAAGAAAAAGGACUAGAACAUGUUACUGUUGAUAACUUGGUGGCUGAAAUCACUCCAAAAGGCAGAGCUCUGGUACCUGACAGUGUAAAGAAGGAGCUCCUACAAAGAAUAAGAACAUUCCUUGCUCAGCGUGCCAGCCUUUAAGAAUGUACCAUCUAGUGGAAGAGAGAACAUUUGCAAGCUGGCUCCACACCAAGCUCCUCCCACAUACUCUACUCAUCUGAACUUUGAAAGCAGACUCUAUAAAUUGCAUCCCCACAUACUAAGGUCAAGAAAGAACUUAAUGGGUGAAUAAUUUCCACCCAUUAGCUUUAUUCUGACAUCAGGAUUGCCAAAUCCAAUGGACUCUUGUCUAUUCUUAUGUAA